GACGAACGCUGGCGGCGCGCUUAACACAUGCAAGUCGAGCGAUGAAAUUUCGACAGAUCCCUUCGGGGGGAAGAUGAAAUGGAUUAGCGGCGGACGGGUGAGUAACACGUGAGUAACCUGCCUUUGACAUUGGGAUAGCCUCGGGAAACUGGGAUUAAUACCAAAUGACACUAACUGAUCACAUGAUCAAUUAGUCAAAGAAAUUCGGUCAAAGCUGGACUCGCGGCUGAUUAGCUAGUUGGUGAGGUAACGGCCCACCAAGGCGACGAUCAGUAGCCGGCCUGAGAGGGUGAUCGGCCACAUUGGAACUGAGACACGGUCCAAACUCCUACGGGAGGCAGCAGUGGGGAAUAUUGCACAAUGGGGGAAACCCUGAUGCAGCGACGCCGCGUGAGCGAAGAAGUCCUUCGGGUCGUAAAGCUCUUUUAUGAGGGAAGAUAAUGACGGUACCUAAAGAAAAAGCCCCGGCUAACUACGUG
rnacentral:rRNA from 1 species